rnacentral:misc_RNA from 1 species
AAGUCGUAACAAGGUUUCCGUAGGUGAACCUGCGGAAGGAUCAUUAACACGUAUCCAAACGUUAAAACCCCCCCCGUGAACUUUCAAUCCUGCUCUUGUAACCCGCGUAGUUCCGCAAUCUCUGGUAAAUCAUAGCCCGGAAAGUUGUUUUGAUUCAGAGACCUCUGGCUACGUGAGAACAAUGGAACAGUUACAAUCGAGCGGUAGUUUCAUAGGCAUUGUUUCCCCAAGCAGUCAGUGUCGGAAAGUGUCAUUGAUUGUGCAAGGAUAGCGCUUUUCGAUCACUAGAGGCCGACACCGGCCGGUGACCAGGUCGCCGUGGCUUCGGCCCCCUAUAUUAACCCCACUACCUGAUUCCGCCUCGUAGGAAACUGCUGGGCAACAAAACGAACAACUGUUAACAAUGGAUAUCUUGGUUCUC